AAGCCUGUACUUUCAGAGGGUGAUUUCUAAAGCUCGUUGCUAGGAAAGGUUCUGUGAACGAGUGCAGCACUGGACACCACAUGGAGAAGGCACGGCAUCCUAGUCUGAGUCCGAAGUUGGCUCCUGGCAUUGCUUUUUUGGCAGCUGCUGCUUGGCUGAUGGUAAUAAUUUACUUCUUCUCUUAUGUGGGAGAAGAAGAGGAAGGCGAUGCUCUCUGAGUAG
rnacentral:snoRNA from 1 species